AGUGUGUUAAUAUCUCGGGGUUUUUUUUGUGUUUUAAUAUCCAAAUUUGUAUUAGUUCUGGUGUGUUCAUCCUAGGUGUUUGGCGUUGUUGUGCUUUAGUAUCUCAAUUUUUGGCGUUUUUCAUGCGUUAAUAUCCAGGUUUUUGGUGUUUUGGUUUUUUUUUCUUGCGUUAAUAUCCAGGUUUUUGGUGUUUUGGGGGUUUUUUCUUGCGUUAAUAUCCAGGUUUUUGGUGUUUUGGUUUUUUUUCUUGCGUUAAUAUCCAGGUUUUUGGUGUUUUGGGGGUUUUUUCUUGCGUUAAUAUCCAGGUUUUUGGUGUUUUGGGUUUUUUUUCUUGCGUUAAUAUCCAGGUUUUUGGUGUUUUGGGGUUUUUUUUCUUGCGUUAAUAUCCAGGUUUUUGGUGUUUUGGGGUUUUUUUCUUGCGUUAAUAUCCAUGUUUUUGGUGUUUUGGUUUUUUUUCUUGCGUUAAUAUCCAGGUUUUUGGUGUUUUGGGUGUUUUUCUGUCAGGGCCCUCUCCUCAUCCCUCCCCACCUGGCAUCCCAAACAAACCCCCUCCCUCAUCCUUUUCCUCCCGGUCUGUCUCCCAUCCAUCCCUCUUCCUCUGUUUUCCCUCAGCGCGGCACCUGAGUGGAGACGGCUUCGCAGCCGUCUCCACUCAGGUAAUCAAUCUCCUCCACGAGUCCCGGGCAGCUGGAAGAAAUCAUCCUGAUCACUCAUCUCACAAUAAGUACCGGCUCAACACUCCACACCCUGCCAGAUUGUUGAAUAGACUUUCGCUACCCAGCUGCCCGGAGACCUCCUCACCUGGAACCCUCAUCUGACCCCCCUGAGCUAUUCGGCACCGGUCCCCCUCCCCGCUCGGAUCCCCCAUCCCGCCUGGACCCCCUCCUGGAAUCCCCGACCCGUUUCCCUCCCGGCCGCUGAAGCUGCAGCAGCCAACCGGCUCUCCCUGCCUCCCGGAGCAUCGCCGGCGAGACGCCGUCUCUGCUCGGCCGACCCGAAACCUCGGCCUCCCCCUGAUCGUCAGAGUGCCUCUCCAAAACCCCUCUCCUCCACCGAACUCCAAGCCCUAGACGUCUGGCCGCCAGGGAUCCCCCACAGUGACCCGCGGCGCUCCGGUCCCGCCCGGGCCACGAACGACCGCCGAUCCCCGGCCCCCAGAUCCACCCGGCCACAUCCUCCCCCCACCUGCACUCCUUGUCCCUGCAUUCCGGUCUUUCCACUCAGCCAUAUCCAUCCCUGUACAAUAAAACCUUUAUCAACUUCUCCGGU